ACUUCCCAUGAUCUAAUGUGCAUGAUCGUUACUGUGUUUGCCAGGAGGCUGAGCUUAAUGAUAGAAAAAUUGGAAAGCUAUGCAAGUAUGCUUCUAAGAAUCCAUUAAGAAUUCCUAAGGCCACUAUAUGCCAGUAGUUUAUUAGCGAUAAUUCGGACUCUUCUAGAACAGUCUCGAACAGAUGAAAUCAGGAUAUUAGGCUGCAACACUCUUGUUGAUUUUAUAGAAUGCCAGACAGAUGGUACGUACGUGUUCAACUUAGAGGGUUUUAUACUUAAACUAUGCCAAUUAGCUCAAGAAGUGGGCGAAGAUGAACGAGCUCUGCAUCUA